CGGCGGGAGCUGCUGCCCGCCCCAGAGGCGCCGCGGCCAUGGUGCCGGCACUGCCGAGGGCCGUGGGACCUCGCCGCCCCCUCUAAGAAAUCGAAGCGGAAAUAAAGAAGAAUGGUAACAUUCCUUUGAACGAUCAGUUCCACCAAAAGCAUCAUAAAAGUUAAAGCCACGGGACUGGGAACAAAACGCUCCUGUCACCAAUAAUUCAAACCCGGUAAAAGGCCCCCUCCAGCCCCAAGCUGCUUUGAGUCUGCUCCAAACACUUCAAGAGAUAUUUGUGCAAUAGCAACCAUCGUGUUACUGUUGCUUGCAUCUGCCAGCCCAGUGUCCCCAUUGUAAACUACCUUCUGAACAAGUGUUCAGCAGUCUCCAUCAUCAGAUAAAAACA